CACGUAGGCACCAAGCGUUGUCCGGAUUUAUUGGGCGUAAAGAGCUCGUAGGCGGUUGAGUAAGUCGGGUGUGAAAACUCUGGGCUUAACCCAGAGCCGCCACUCGAUACUGCUCUGACUUGAGUUCGGUAGGGGAGCAGGGAAUUCCUAGUGUAGCGGUGAAAUGCGCAGAUAUUAGGAGGAACACCAGAGGCGAAGGCGGCUCACUGGGUCUUUUCUGACGCUGAGGAACGAAAGCUAGGGGAGCAAACGGG
rnacentral:rRNA from 1 species